rnacentral:rRNA from 1 species
GCUGGCGGCGUGCCUCAGACAUGCAAGUCGAACGCGAAAGUCCCCUUCGGGGGACAAGUAGAGUGGCGCACGGGUGAGUAACACGUAGGUAAUCUACCUUCGGAUGGGGAAUAACAAUCGGAAACGGUUGCUAAUACCGCAUAAUGCAGCGGCACCUAAUGGUGACAGUUGUUAAAGCGGGGGAUCGAAAGACCUCGCGUCUGAAGAGGAGCCUGCGGCGGAUUAGCUAGUUGGUAAGGUAAUGGCUUACCAAGGCGACGAUCCGUAACCGGCCUGAGAGGGCGGUCGGUCACACUGACACUGACAUACGGGUCAGACUCCUACGGGAGGCAGCAGUCGGGAAUUUUGGGCAAUGGGCGAAAGCCUGACCCAGCAACGCCGCGCGAAGGAUGAAAUCCCUCGGGAUGUAAACUUCGCAAGAACGGGAAGAAUAAGUAGGGGACAAUACCCCCUAUGAUGACGGUACCGUUUGUAAGCUCCGGCUAACUCCGUGCCAGCAGCCGCGGUAAUACGGGGGGAGCAAGCGUUGUUCGGAUUUACUGGGCGUAAAGGGCGUGUAGGCGGCCAGCACAAGUCAGUUGUGAAAUCUCCGAGCUUAACUCGGAAAGGUCAACUGAUACUGUGCGGCUAGAGUGCAGAAGGGGCAACUGGAAUUCUUGGUGUAGCGGUGAAAUGCGUAGAUAUCAAGAGGAACACCUGCGGCGAAGGCGGGUUGCUGGGCUGACACUGACGCUGAGGCGCGAAAGCUAGGGG